GUACUUGCUACUGCAGUACAUAUACUAAAAUUGGAACGAUACAGAGAAAAUUAGCAUGGCUCCUGCGCAAGGAUGACACGCAAAAUCGUGAAGCGUUUCACAUUUUU
rfam:Stegodyphus mimosarum contig59912, whole genome shotgun sequence.